rnacentral:rRNA from 1 species
AGCGGACGCUGGCGGCAGGCUUAACACAUGCAAGUCGAACGGAAUUGAGGGGCUUGCUCUUCAAUUUAGUGGCGCACGGGUGAGUAACGCGUAGAUAAUCUGCCUGAUGAUUCGGGAUAACACUUCGAAAGGGGUGCUAAUACCGGAUAAGCCCACGGAGUCCUUGGAUUCUGCGGGAAAAGGGGGGGACCUUAGGGCCUUCUGUCAUCAGAUGAGUCUGCGUACCAUUAGCUAGUUGGUAGGGUAAAGGCCUACCAAGGCGACGAUGGUUAGCUGGUCUGAGAGGAUGAUCAGCCACACUGGAACUGAGACACGGUCCAGACUCCUACGGGAGGCAGCAGUGGGGAAUUUUGCGCAAUGGGGGAAACCCUGACGCAGCAACGCCGCGUGAGUGAUGAAGGCUCUUGGGUCGUAAAGCUCUGACAGAGGGAAAGAAGUGUAUUGAGGUUAAUACCCUUGGUACUUGACGGUACCCUCAAAGGAAGCACCGGCUAACUCCGUGCCAGCCGCCGCAGUAA